AUUGAACGCUGGCGGCAGGCUUAACACAUGCAAGUCGAACGAGUGGCGGUCGGGUGAGUAAUGUCUGGGAAACUGCCUGAUGGAGGGGGAUAACUACUGGAAACGGUAGCUAAUACCGCAUACCAUCAGAUGUGCCCAGAUGGGAUUAGAUUGUUGGUGGGGUAACGGCUCACUAAGGCGACGAUCCCUAGCUGGUAUAAGAGGAUGACCAACCACACUGGAACUAGGAACCGAUCAAUACUCCUACGGAAGACAGCAGUGAGGAUUAUUGCACAAUGAGCGAAAGCCUGAGGCAGCCAUGCCGGGUAUAUGAAAAAGGCCUUCGGGUUGUAAAGUACUUUCAGCGGGAAGGCGUUACCCGAAGAAGAAGCAACGGCUAACUCCGUGCCAGCAGCCGCUGUAAUUC
rnacentral:rRNA from 1 species